UUAACACAUGCUAUUAUUGUUAUCGGCAUCCCUGUUACUUUAACAAUGCCCUAUUAUCAGGAGAAUGGGAUCAUCAUGCAACACAUGAGGUAGUCUUAGAGGCAAGACUAUGAACCUACUUUGUGUUUAUGUUUCCACACAUACAUAUGAGCAUUGCUCUGAAUCUCAAAUUCAAGAACCAUAGCAAUUCUAGCACAGAAAUAUAAAUGUUUAUUAUAAACACAUUUAAAUAAAUAAUAACAUUUAUUUGUGCCACUAGGGCAUAUUUUCACCAUGUGACAUAACCUCUGUAGUAUCCUCUCCAGCAAGCGCCCAAUCGUUCCUCGCCAUGGUGCACUCAAUAAUGGAGUGACCCCUGGUAUCAUUCUCCCCACAUGUUGCGCUUCUACUCGUUGAUGACAUAUUCCUAUCAAACAAAACUUCCCCUGAUGCCAGGGAACUUUUGACAUGGACCGCCAUAGAUUUGGUCAUUCCUUCUCCUCUCUCGGGCCAUUCGACGUUGUUGUCCUUCCCUCUAGCAAGGUCUCUCUCUUUCUCUUCAUUCUGACAAGCAGACGAUAAGCAGAACAAAAACUCAAUAAUCCCAUCUGCUUCCUCAUGCCAACCCGGAAAUGAUCUUGAAUACUCGUGUUGAGAGGUAUCUUCACAACCGCCUCAACAUCCAUUGGAGCAAGGAAUCUUUGUCGUUUAUCUUUAUUCUGAGCAUUUACUAACGAGACAAUAAAUUUUCUUACCCUCAGGGGUGGAGUAUUAGACAUGUAUGCAGAUGGUAUCUAGGUCUAUGGAUUUAUGGGCGGAGUGCAUAUAUAAUAUGAACACAUCUUACAAAAUCUGGCAUAAGCACAAGAUAUUUCACUUCACAUGUCUAUGUUAUGUUUACUCCACUUAUAUUUUAUGGGGAGUUACUAUUGGUGCAAUUAUGAACCAUGGUCCAGUUUUGCAAAACUAAUCAUUUGGAGAAGACAAAUUUUCUUCAAGUUCUCACUGAGCGGACGACUUGCUUCUAGUUAUAAACUCCUGCACCUGGAAUCCCAACAACCUUUCUAAUAGUCCUAGUGUAAGCAUCAAGCUGUGUUCCCAAAGGAACAAGUCAUUGUGUGCUCCUGGCAUAGAGCGCGAAGGUGUGAUAUAUAGGACAUGUCACCGGAGGAAGCCUCAUCCGUGCAGCGGCUGCUUCACAUGCAAACCCUGGCGCCCUCUCGAAGCCAUGGAACAUUCUCAAUUCUUUUAGUGCAACUUCUUGGGGCGGUAUCAUGACACCAUGCCAUGUUUCGUGAUUUCCAGGCUUCAUUUGAAUUUGUGAGAAUACAAAUGCCAAUAACCACCAUGUUGUUUCCCACGUCUUGGCCACCUGGUGUGUGAGACUCCUUUUCUUUAUUACUUACGUAAGGCCUAAAAAUCCACUAAUUAAUGACAGCCAGUAAUAUUUUUAACACCACUUCUGGAUAAAAUUUCAUGUACCUACGUUUCAAAUUCGAAUUAUAUCCAUUAAUGUUCUUGUUAAUCCAUUGACAUAAGAUCUCUUUAUACACUACACACGGUUUGUCAACUUCAGUUGGUGACAAUCCAUUAGCUCUGGAAAGCAAAACCAUGUAAGUAUUGUAGAUGUGUGUGGAAUACUUUUUUUCUUUUCACGUCAUGGAAUCCAUUUUUUAACAGUGUGUAAAGUUCUAGUGGAAGAUCAUGGAGUUCCAGUGAGCUUUCCACUAAAACCGGAAAGACAGAGGUCGGCAUUUUCAAUCAGACAAAGGGGACUCCGACCAAAAUGCAUGAUUUUAAACAGAAUUUUUUUGAGUCUUCAGUCGAAGGAAUCAUUUCCCACGUUGAAAAUGCCAUGCGUACGUGCAGAGACACGGAAUCCAUGCAUGCACCGCACCUGGGCCGAGACAUACUACGUACAGGGUUGACCGAGCGACGACCUGGACCAUAUUAGCACUAGCAUGCAUGCAUGCAUGCUGAUUUCUGUCCUUGUCGCUCGUGCAAUGAACUGGCCUCUCAUGCAAUGAAAUGACCUGGACCAUAUUAGCACUACCAUGCAUGCAUGCAUGUAUUAGCAGCUUUCGUUAGCCUAUAAAUGAAGCAAAGCUUAUAUAUUAGAAGCUCAGAAGCAACCCAUCAUGCAGCGUUCUUCUUCUUCUUCUUCCAUGGCACUCGCAUGCGCUAUGGCAGUGCUGGUUCUCAUCUCCUCUUCCUUGGCGGCUCAAGCUGCGAGCGCACAGCCUGGAUAUCGUCCGCCACAAAGGCCUCCGCCGCCGUAUGCCCCGCAGGGCCCAGGUUAUUCUAGGAAGUGCCCAGACUGCAACUCCGGCGCCACCCGGCGGGCGCCCUCGGCACUGGCUCCCCACCGCAAGGCCAUGCAGGCCGCCCCGGACGUCGACAGUAAGACGCUUGCGCGUCACGCAACACCGACAUAUAUAUGAUGCGGCGAUCGCCGAUGGUGGUGCCAUGGAAUUGAAUAAAGGAGCAGCGCACUGUGGGACUGCAACGAUCAGCCAGCCCCUUCGCAGGAUCAGCCGGAUCGUAUAACUAAUAAGAGAGCCAGCAUGUUAGUACCGAGACAUCUCCUGUGCAAUUCUUGUGCGCAUGCUUUCUAUUACUGCUUGAUGUCCUUGUUGCACGCAUGAUAUUAUAUCUUGAGUCGUCAAAUUUUGUCAUA